CGAGCGCCGUUGCUGAGCCCUGCAAAUAGCAGCUACCUGCUUCAGCCUAGAUCCUGCCAUGAAGCGGACUGCUGCUCCCUGGCUCCCACUCUGAUCUGCUUUUCACUCUUGCCUUGUCUCCCAAUUAAUAAGCAGCAUUGUGUGCCCGUAGCAACAGCGGGUUAAAAAGAAAAAGUACUGGAGAUCGCAUGAAGGUUGAUUGCCCUAGAGAAGUCGACACGCUCACACAGAUGGAAAUGAUUUCACCGAGUCCUGAAAAAUGUGGUCGUCAGCCCCACAUACAAACCACGACUUGUGUUUUCUUUAAGAUGAGGAGUCUGGUCAAGAGGUCUGUGUAAUAAAAGAUGUUUGUAGAAUCCA
rnacentral:lncRNA from 1 species